GGGGAUAUUGCACAAUGGGGGGAACCCUGAUGCAGCGACGCCGCGUGGGCGAUGGAGUGCUUCGGCAUGUAAAGCCCUAUCAGCAGGGAAGAAAAUGACGGUAGCUGACUAAGAAGCCCCGGCCAAAUACGUGCCAGCAGCCGCGGUAAUACGUAUGGGGCAAGCGUUAUCCGGAUUUACUGGGUGUAAAGGGAGCGUAGACGGCAGCACAAGUCUGGAGUGAAAUGCCGGGGCUUAACCCCGGAACUGCUUUGGAAACUGUGCAGCUAGAGUGCAGGAGAGGUAAGUGGAAUUCCUAGUGUAGCGGUGAAAUGCGUAGAUAUUAGGAGGAACACCAGUGGCGAAGGCGGCUUACUGGACUGUAACUGACGUUGAGGCUCGAAAGCGUGGGGAGCAAACAA
rnacentral:rRNA from 1 species